rnacentral:rRNA from 1 species
UACGUAGGGGGGCUAGCGUUGUCCGGAAUCAUUGGGCGUAAAGCGCGUGUAGGCGGUUCGGUAAGUCCGCUGUGAAAGUCGGGGGCUCAACCCUCGAAAGCCGGUGGAUACUGUCGGGCUAGAGUACGGAAGAGGCGAGUGGAAUUCCUGGUGUAGCGGUGAAAUGCGCAGAUAUCAGGAGGAACACCAAUGGCGAAGGCAG